AAACAAAAAGUAACCAAAACAAAAGUAAUUGUUUUUAUAAUUUAUCUAUCUAUUAACAUGCUUGGACAAAAACCAAAAUUUAUCAGACCUGGAGACGACACACUCUAUCCGAUAAGGAAUAAAGAUGGUGUUAUAGAGACGUUAUUAAACCCAAGUGUAGACGUAGCAUUAACAGUGGACAGUGAUUCUAAAAGUAAUUUUGUGUACAAUCGGUUCCAUCAUUUACCGUUAAAUGCACAAAGACAGAAGUUACCUGUGUUCCAAUACAGAAACCAUAUACUGUAUUUAUUAGAAAAGUAUCAGAGUUUGAUAUUGAUUGGAGAAACAGGAUGUGGGAAGUCAACACAAGUUCCACAGUAUUUGUACGAGAUCGGGCACAGAGUAUGUGUGACGCAGCCCAGAGUGGCCGCAGCGGUAUCUCUAGCUGCCCGCGUGGCCACCGAACGAGGGGAAGAACCCGGCAACACUGUGGGGUACGCUGCCUCGAUGACGUCAGCAAGGAACAGCGAAACCGGCAUUGUGUUCAUGACAGAAGGUGUUCUUCUAAGGGAAAUGUUCGCUUCUCCGUUACUUAUGCAGUAUACUUGUAUUGUAUUGGAUGAGGUCCAUGAAAGAACUCAGAUGACAGAUGUUCUUAUGGGAUUGCUAAAGAAAAUCGCUAAAAAGCGCAAGAAUUUAAAAUUAGUAAUAUCAUCAGCUACAAUGGACGCGGAGUUUCUGAGAGAUUUCUUCAAUCUGUCUGAUAAAAAGGAACAAGACAGAAAGAGUACGUCAGUUAUAAUGUCAAUGCAGGGACGAACCCAUCCCAUUGACGUGUUUUACGUUGAAGAACCAGUACCUGAUUAUGUGAAAGCUACAGUGGAAACGGUUAUUAAAAUACAUGAAAACGAACCCUUUGGUGAUAUAUUGGCCUUUCUGACGUCACAGGAAGAGAUACUUUCAGCUUUAGAAAUAUUACAACAAUAUUCUGAAGAGAAUAACGAAACGAAUAAACACAGACGUUACUUUGCAAGCGGUGUACAAGCUGCUAAUAUGUCAGUGUUGCCAAUGUACGGCACUUUGCCACAUUAUAAACAGAUCAAAGUGUUCCAAAUGGCGGAUAGCAAUGUGCGUAAAAUUAUAUUAGCUACAAAUAUAGCGGAGACUAGUGUUACAAUACCAGGCAUUGUUUAUGUGAUCGACUGUGGGUUCCACAAAUUGCCCUACUUCGAGUCAGCAGUGGGCGUGCAGUCUGUCUGCGUCACUCCGAUAUCAAAGAACAACGCGACACAGCGCGCGGGCCGGGCGGGCAGGACUAGUCGCGGGAAAUGUUACAGAUUGUACACAGAGAGUCAGUACGAGAAGUUGUCAACCUGCAUACCGCCGGAGAUGUGUCGCAGCGAUCUAUCCGCCAUGCUGCUGCAGCUCAAAGCACUAGGCAUACAUAAUGUACUGAGGUUCACAUUCCCCACGCCACCUCCAGCUAAGAGUCUACUGUCAGGUCUGGAGACGUUGUAUGCGCUGUCAGCUAUAGACAAACACGGAGAUUUAACGCCCCAAGUGGGAGCUUAUAUGGCGGAGUUACCUUUGAACCCGAUGUGCGCCAAAAUGUUAUGCAAUAGUGGUGAAUAUGGAUGUAUAGAUGAAAUUCUAUCCAUUGUAUCCAUGUUACAAGUGGACGGUGUGUUCACUUCGCCUGUCAGUGGGAAGGAAAAUAUCUCCGCUAAGAUAUCCAGAAGAAAUAACUUUGAGGUAGCAGAAGGUGAUAUAAUAAUGUAUCUAAAUAUAUUUGACGCAUAUCUAAAUGUUAGAUCAAAAGAUACGACGAAAUAUAAAAAGACGUGCAAAGCAUGGUGUCAGAAGAUGUAUAUUAAUUAUAGAGUUAUGGAGAAGGCGUAUGAAAUAAGACAAAGCUUAGAGAAAUUAAUAAAGGACAAAUUCAAAAUGGUGGACAAAACUUUUGAUGGACCUGAUUUAGGAACUGGUAAAUGUGUCCGUGUAAUGCGCUGCGUAGUGUCAGGUCUGUUCCCGCAAGCCGCGCGUCUCUCCCCUGCCGGUGCGUACUGCGGAGUGCGCGGCGCUCAGCUGCACAUCGCCACAAACAGCUGUCUGUAUCAUCACCAACAACCUAAAUGGUAAAAUACACUCUCAGAUCUAAUGAGAUCUUAUGUGCCGCGCGUCUCUCCCCUGCCGGCGCGUACUGCGGAGUGCGGAGUGCGCGGCGCUCAGCUGCACAUCGCCACAAACAGCUGUCUGUAUCAUCACCAACAACCUAAAUGGUAAAAUACACUCUCAGAUCUAAUGAGAUCUUAUGUGCCGCGCGUCUCUCCCCUGCCGGCGCGUACUGCGGAGUGCGGAGUGCGCGGCGCUCAGCUGCACAUCGCCACAAACAGCUGUCUGUAUCAUCACCAACAACCUAAAUGGUAAAAUACACUCUCAGAUCUAAUGAGAUCUUAUGUGCCGCGCGUCUCUCCCCUGCCGGCGCGUACUGCGGAGUGCGGAGUGCGCGGCGCUCAGCUGCACAUCGCCACAAACAGCUGUCUGUAUCAUCACCAACAACCUAAAUGGUAAAAUACACUCUCAGAUCUAAUGAGAUCUUAUGUGCCGCGCGUCUCUCCCCUGCCGGCGCGUACUGCGGAGUGCGGAGUGCGCGGCGCUCAGCUGCACAUCGCCACAAACAGCUGUCUGUAUCAUCACCAACAACCUAAAUGGUAAAAUACACUCUCAGAUCUAAUGAGAUCUUAUGUGCCGCGCGUCUCUCCCCUGCCGGCGCGUACUGCGGAGUGCGGAGUGCGCGGCGCUCAGCUGCACAUCGCCACAAACAGCUGUCUGUAUCAUCACCAACAACCUAAAUGGUAAAAUACACUCUCAGAUCUAAUGAGAUCUUAUGUGCCGCGCGUCUCUCCCCUGCCGGCGCGUACUGCGGAGUGCGGAGUGCGCGGCGCUCAGCUGCACAUCGCCACAAACAGCUGUCUGUAUCAUCACCAACAACCUAAAUGGUAAAAUACACUCUCAGAUCUAAUGAGAUCUUAUGUGCCGCGCGUCUCUCCCCUGCCGGCGCGUACUGCGGAGUGCGGAGUGCGCGGCGCUCAGCUGCACAUCGCCACAAACAGCUGUCUGUAUCAUCACCAACAACCUAAAUGGUAAAAUACACUCUCAGAUCUAAUGAGAUCUUAUGUGCCGCGCGUCUCUCCCCUGCCGGCGCGUACUGCGGAGUGCGGAGUGCGCGGCGCUCAGCUGCACAUCGCCACAAACAGCUGUCUGUAUCAUCACCAACAACCUAAAUGGUAAAAUACACUCUCAGAUCUAAUGAGAUCUUAUGUGCCGCGCGUCUCUCCCCUGCCGGCGCGUACUGCGGAGUGCGGAGUGCGCGGCGCUCAGCUGCACAUCGCCACAAACAGCUGUCUGUAUCAUCACCAACAACCUAAAUGGUAAAAUACACUCUCAGAUCUAAUGAGAUCUUAUGUGCCGCGCGUCUCUCCCCUGCCGGCGCGUACUGCGGAGUGCGGAGUGCGCGGCGCUCAGCUGCACAUCGCCACAAACAGCUGUCUGUAUCAUCACCAACAACCUAAAUGGUAAAAUACACUCUCAGAUCUAAUGAGAUCUUAUGUGCCGCGCGUCUCUCCCCUGCCGGCGCGUACUGCGGAGUGCGGAGUGCGCGGCGCUCAGCUGCACAUCGCCACAAACAGCUGUCUGUAUCAUCACCAACAACCUAAAUGGUAAAAUACACUCUCAGAUCUAAUGAGAUCUUAUGUGCCGCGCGUCUCUCCCCUGCCGGCGCGUACUGCGGAGUGCGGAGUGCGCGGCGCUCAGCUGCACAUCGCCACAAACAGCUGUCUGUAUCAUCACCAACAACCUAAAUGGUAAAAUACACUCUCAGAUCUAAUGAGAUCUUAUGUGCCGCGCGUCUCUCCCCUGCCGGCGCGUACUGCGGAGUGCGGAGUGCGCGGCGCUCAGCUGCACAUCGCCACAAACAGCUGUCUGUAUCAUCACCAACAACCUAAAUGGUAAAAUACACUCUCAGAUCUAAUGAGAUCUUAUGUGCCGCGCGUCUCUCCCCUGCCGGCGCGUACUGCGGAGUGCGGAGUGCGCGGCGCUCAGCUGCACAUCGCCACAAACAGCUGUCUGUAUCAUCACCAACAACCUAAAUGGUAAAAUACACUCUCAGAUCUAAUGAGAUCUUAUGUGCCGCGCGUCUCUCCCCUGCCGGCGCGUACUGCGGAGUGCGGAGUGCGCGGCGCUCAGCUGCACAUCGCCACAAACAGCUGUCUGUAUCAUCACCAACAACCUAAAUGGGUGGUGUUCGCGGGCGUUGUGAGUGUGGCGGAGAAGACGUACAUGAGAGAUCUGAUGACAAUACA